CUGUGCUCCGAACGAAGAUGGACACCUGUGCCGUCAUCAUCUUGAGGGGCGGCCUUCUCUAUGUGUGUGUCUGUGCACGCUUGUGAACGUUCGUGCGAGUUUUGUCUUUUUCUUCUUUGCGUGCGUCGUCUUUGUGCUGGCGUGUGAUUCUCUCCUCUCCGGAGCGUGGGUGAUAUACAUAUAUGUAUAUAUAUAUAUAUACGCUCAGGUGGCUGGUAGGUGUAUGUGUAUGUGCCAAUGAAGGUGUGCUUCUUCGCACAGUGUAUCGUCCCUCGAAUAGUCUUUUUGUGUUGUUGCUGUUCUUGUUUUCGAACGUUUUUCCUCUCUCUUGCUUGGUCGAAGCGCCUUGUUGUAGUGGACUCUCUCUCUUUCCCUCUCUGUCUGUGUGCGGAUGUUGGUGUUGUGCCCUCCCUUCUUGCUUGCUUUUUCUCCCGUCCGCGCAUGCUCUUCUUGUGUUCUCUCUUCUCUCGUCUUUUCAGUCUUCUCCCUUCUACGCGGGGUGCACGUAACUGUGGAACAUGACCAGGUGCGGGAGACGGCGCCAUACAAACAGCCCAACCGCUUGAUAAGAACAGCAUCGGGCGAAUACUCCUACGGACCAUUACCGGCACCGACGCAAUCCAGCACGCACGAAACGCGGCGUCUGUGGCGGUGGCGGGAGAGGCUCUCGCUCGUUUUCGC
rnacentral:misc_RNA from 1 species